GAAACCUCCACCGAGCUUGGGGAAAGGCACGGAGCUAGACGUUUCACCAGCUGUUUCGUGUCAUUGUCCAGGUGAAAAUACUUGAAAAUCGAAGACUGCACCCAGAUUUAAGCCUGAUGACUAACCCAGCCAGAUGCAGGACCAAGAUUUCUAGAAUUUCAAAGUUUCAUGUUUAUGGUAGACCAUUAUACAGAGCUGUAAAUUAUUUUUAACAAAUAUUGAACUCUGAAUUGUUUAAAUGACUGGAUUUCAAAAUGUUUCCUCCUAUAACAUAUUUCUAAGGAAAUUGCUUCCUCAAUUUAAAUAAUUUUGCUUUUUGUAAGACACUAAGCAUAAAAACCGACAGGUGAAAGAAAUAAACUAAUAUUCUGUUAAUAGUCUCUACUGCAAUUGUUACUUUAAAGUUGCUAUAUCUCAUUAAAGAUCCCAGAAGUUCCGACCCUUCCACAAGUUUUGUCUUCCUAAGUCAAUAGAACUCUUAAUUGUGAGAGAAUUAUUUUCUUCUUGGUAAAAAUAUAUGGUAAAAAUGUAUGGUAAAAUGUUCCGUCUGGAGAGCCCAGCUAUAGAACUGUAAAAGUGUAUUUCUCUGUGCUAUCAUCUCCGUGAGAGCCAUGUGCACACAAGAUGAGUCUCAUACACCAUAAGAUGGAUCUCUGAUGACAUGAAUUAGUAUAUAGCAUGUGUUGCUUUGGAAAACUUUGUUUCAUAUUGAACACUAGUUGAUGAUACUCUCCAGUAAUAUCACAUUACAAAACUGAUUAUAAAAAUACCGCAACCACAUUAUGGAUAAAGUUAUUAUCCAUUCUGUUUGCCACACCAAUGCCUUACCAUGCAAAUCCAUCCUAGAUUUAUUGACCGCAAAUUAUUGUAGAUGUGAAAUAAAUUAGUUGGAGAAAGAAGGAUAUCUUUAUGGCUUUCAGCACAUCUCCAGUGGAAUCAGCAUGAAAAACGCAAAACCUAUUUCAGUAAUCUUUUCCAACGUUUUGUAUAUGCAACAGCCACUGCCUCAAAAACCGUGCUUCUUCACUGAUCAUGUUUUCAAGACUCCUAAACCAAAGCUUUCAGUUUAUGAUAGAGAUUAUUAAGUUGUUUGCUUGCUUAUGUGUUUCGUUUUUUAACAUAUUAUAUAGUUCAAUUACUGGAAAGGAGAAGUUUGAGAUGGUGCCUGUUGCUAUUGCAUGAAAUUAGUCUGGGCUCCAGCCAAACUCAAGUCUCAUUCUCAUUAAGAUGGAGACAUUCAGAUGAAAAUUAAGACCCUUCUAAUGAAAUAGAAGUGGCAGGACACAUUACCUUAUUUAUCUAGUUGUGCUUGCAUGAUUUGCUAGACCAGCAGUUAUGACAAAUGUUCUUUACACAAUCUAUUUUCAAGACUAUUUCUAUUAAAAGUAACAUGAUUGAGUACACUGCUUUGCUCAUUGUUGAGAUAUGCUCCAAUGUUUAUAUCAAACCAAUUAAACUGUGUUGUUUUAAAGCAAUAAAAAUGGUUCUGUAAUUGCCACAUGUUCUUCUCUGCCAUUUUCAAGUCUGGAGACUAGGAAAUAGUUUGCAAGCUUUCUGUGCACACUAUUUUAUCCUCACACAUUUGACCUUUUAAUUUUAUCUUGUGUUGAUUUGUGAUAAAACAUUCUAGAUGUUUUGUGUAUGUGUGUGACUGUAGUUCUUCCUUAUCUUUUUUAACGUUUAGAAUAAAGAUACCUAAAGUAA